CGCAUCUGUGCAUGCAGCAUAUCAAUAAGCGGAGGAAAAGAAACUAACAAGGAUUCCCUUAGUAACGGCGAGUGAAGCGGGAAGAGCUCAAAUUUGAAAUCUUCAAGGUUUUACCUUGACGAAUUGUAGUUUAAAGAAGUGUUUUCUGUUGAAGUUUUGGUAAAAGUUCUUUGGAAUAGGACAUCAUAGAGGGUGAGAAUCCCGUAUUUGACCAUUAUUUUCAGCUGUGUGAUACACUUUCAAAGAGUCGGAUUGUUUGGGAAUGCAGUCCAAAAUGGGUGGUAAAUUUCAUCUAAAGCUAAAUAUUGGCGAGAGACCGAUAGCGAACAAGUACCGUGAGGGAAAGAUGAAAAGAACUUUGAAAAGAGAGUUAAACAGUACGUGAAAUUGUCAAAAGGGAAGCGUUUGACACCAGUGUUGUUUUCUCGAAAAUCAAUUAAAAAGAGUUAGAUUUUGUGUUGUAUUGACCUUAACAGCUUGCAUUCACUCUUUCCUGCUUUUUUUAAUGCACUUUUCGUUUAACAAGUCAACAUCAGUUUCUUUUGUUGUAAAAGGUCAUUGGAAGGUGGCUUUCUCUUCGGAGAAAGUGUUUAUAGCCUUUGAUCUCUGCAAUCGGAGAGACUGAGGUCUGCAGCGUAGAUCCUUCGGGGCUAGAUACAUUUGUGCUAAGUUAUAGCUUUUUAUAGACAACUUGUUGACUAUGAUUAGUCUUGUAGCUUACUCGCUUAUGCUAUUUUACCUACGCUUAGGAUGUUGACGCGCGUGUGUGCGUG
rnacentral:rRNA from 1 species